GAAUAUUGGUCAAUGGGCGCGAGCCUGAACCAGCCAAGUAGCGUGAAGGAUGAAGGUCCUACGGACUGUAAACUUCUUUUAUAAGGGAAUAAAGUCACCCACGUGUGGGUGUUUGUAUGUACCUUAUGAAUAAGCAUCGGCUAACUCCGUGCCAGCAGCCGCGGUAAUACGGAGGAUGCGAGCGUUAUCCGGAUUUAUUGGGUUUAAAGGGAGCGUAGACGGGCCGUUAAGUCAGCUGUGAAAGUUUGAGGCUCAACCUUAAAAUUGCAGUUGAUACUGGCGUCCUUGAGUACGGUUGAGGCAGGCGGAAUUCGUGGUGUAGCGGUGAAAUGCUUAGAUAUCACGAAGAACCCCGAUUGCGAAGGCAGCCUGCUAAACCGCCACUGACGUUGAGGCUCGAAAGUGUGGGUAUCAAACAGGAUUAGAUACCCUGGUAGUCCACACGGUAAACGAUGGAUACUCGCUGCUGGCGAUAGACUGUCAGCGGCUUAGCGAAAGCGUUAAGUAUCCCACCUGGGGAGUACGCCGGCAACGGUGAAACUCAAAGGAAUUGACGGGGGCCCGCACAAGCGGAGGAACAUGUGGUUUAAUUCGAUGAUACGCGAGGAACCUUACCCGGGCUUGAAUUGCAGACGAAUUGCUUGGAAACAGGCAAGCCGCAAGGCGUCUGUGAAGGUGCUGCAUGGUUGUCGUCAGCUCGUGCCGUGAGGUGUCGGCUUAAGUGCCAUAACGAGCGCAACCCUCGUGUCCAGUUACUAGCAGGUUAUGCUGAGGACUCUGGACAGACUGCCAUCGUAAGAUGUGAGGAAGGUGGGGAUGACGUCAAAUCAGCACGGCCCUUACGUCCGGGGCUACACACGUGUUACAAUGGGGGGUACAGCAGGCAGCUACCGGGCGACCGGAUGCCAAUCCCGAAAGCCUCUCUCAGUUCGGACUGGAGUCUGCAACCCGACUCCACGAAGCUGGAUUCGCUAGUAAUCGCGCAUCAGCCACGGCGCGGUGAAUACGUUCCCG
rnacentral:rRNA from 1 species